CAAAGCUUACUCACAAAAGAAUGUCCUACCUCCAUGCCCAAAAAGAAUUUCCUAGCCCCCUGCCCACGCUACAAGAGAGACAAAUGGUCAGAGCUCCAAGAAAGCAACAGUGAAAGCAAAGGGUAGAGACUGCGGCAUGAUGACACUCACCUUCAAUGCGAGCGCUCAGGAGGUGGGGGCAGAUGGAGCUUUGUUAAGUCUGAGGCUAGCCUGGCCUACACAGUGAGCUCCAGUCCAGCCAGAGAUGCAGAGUGAGACCCUGCCCCGACUCCAACCAAACGAUAAAUAAACGGAUCCUUUUAAAU